CCUGUGAGGGUUGCUGGAGGUAUCAGAAGUGCGAAUGCUGACAUAAGUAACGAUAAAGCGGGUGAAAAGCCCGCUCGCCGGAAGACCAAGGGUUCCUGUCCAACGUUAAUCGGGGCAGGGUGAGUCGACCCCUAAGGCGAGGCCGAAAGGCGUAGUCGAUGGGAAACGGGUUAAUAUUCCCGUACUUGGUGUUACUGCGAAGGGGGGACGGAGAAGGCUAUGUUGGCCGGGCGACGGUUGUCCCGGUUUAAGCGUGUAGGUGUGUGUUCCAGGUAAAUCCGGUUCACUUUAACACUGAGGCGUGACGACGAGGCACUACGGUGCUGAAGCAACAAAUGCCCUGCUUCCAGGAAAAGCCUCUAAGCAUCAGGUAACACGAAAUCGUACCCCAAACCGACACAGGUGGUCAGGUAGAGAAUACCAAGGCGCUUGAGAGAACUCGGGUGAAGGAACUAGGCAAAAUGGUGCCGUAACUUCGGGAGAAGGCACGCUGACACGUAGGUGAAGUGAUUUACUCAUGGAGCUGAAGUCAGUCGAAGAUACCAGCUGGCUGCAACUGUUUAUUAAAAACACAGCACUGUGCAAACACGAAAGUGGACGUAUACGGUGUGACGCCUGCCCGGUGCCGGAAGGUUAAUUGAUGGGGUCAGCGCAAGCGAAGCUCCUGAUCGAAGCCCCGGUAAACGGCGGCCGUAACUAUAACGGUCCUAAGGUAGCGAAAUUCCUUGUCGGGUAAGUUCCGACCUGCACGAAUGGCGUAAUGAUGGCCAGGCUGUCUCCACCCGAGACUCAGUGAAAUUGAACUCGCUGUGAAGAUGCAGUGUACCCGCGGCAAGACGGAAAGACCCCGUGAACCUUUACUAUAGCUUGACACUGAACAUUGAGCCUUGAUGUGUAGGAUAGGUGGGAGGCUUUGAAGUGUGGACGCCAGUCUGCAUGGAGCCGACCUUGAAAUACCACCCUUUAAUGUUUGAUGUUCUAACGUGGACCCGUAAUCCGGGUUGCGGACAGUGUCUGGUGGGUAGUUUGACUGGGGCGGUCUCCUCCUAAAGAGUAACGGAGGAGCACGAAGGUUGGCUAAUCCUGGUCGGACAUCAGGAGGUUAGUGCAAUGGCAUAAGCCAGCUUGACUGCGAGCGUGACGGCGCGAGCAGGUGCGAAAGCAGGUCAUAGUGAUCCGGUGGUUCUGAAUGGAAGGGCCAUCGCUCAACGGAUAAAAGGUACUCCGGGGAUAACAGGCUGAUACCGCCCAAGAGUUCAUAUCGACGGCGGUGUUUGGCACCUCGAUGUCGGCUCAUCACAUCCUGGGGCUGAAGUAGGUCCCAAGGGUAUGGCUGUUCGCCAUUUAAAGUGGUACGCGAGCUGGGUUUAGAACGUCGUGAGACAGUUCGGUCCCUAUCUGCCGUGGGCGCUGGAGAACUGAGGGGGGCUGCUCCUAGUACGAGAGGACCGGAGUGGACGCAUCACUGGUGUUCGGGUUGUCAUGCCAAUGGCACUGCCCGGUAGCUAAAUGCGGAAGAGAUAAGUGCUGAAAGCAUCUAAGCACGAAACUUGCCCCGA
rnacentral:rRNA from 1 species